AACCAAAACACUUUUAUUUAUGGAACUGAUUGUAGGUUGGGUGUAGUUAGCUAGUAAGCAGAUGAUCACAGAUCUGUAAGGGUUUGAAGGGGACCUCUAGAGAUCUAUUGCAUCCAACUUCCCAGCAAAGCAGGCUCUGUACAGCAGGCUGCACAGGUCAAUGUACAGGCGGGUUUUGAAUAUUUUCAGAGAAGGAGAAUCCACAACCCAUCUGGGCAGCCUGUUCCAGUGUUCUGUCACCCUUACUCUGAAGAAGUUCCUUCACGUAUUGGUGCAGAACUUAUGUUCAAGUUUAUGGCUGUUUCCUCUUAUCCCAUCCCCACAGACUGUUGAAAAGAGAUUGGCCAUGUCCCUUUGACUCCCACACUUGAGAUAUUUAUAAACUGUAGUAAGAUCUCCUGUCAGUCAUCUUUAUUCAAGGCAGAAUAGACCCAGUUUGCUCAACCUUUCCUCAUAGGGGAGAUGCUUCAGGCCCUUUAUCAUCUUUGAGACCCUCUGCUGGACUCUAUCCAGAAAAUUCCUGUCUUUUUUUUGUUCUGAGGAGUCCAGGAACUAUGCACAGUACUCAAAGUGAGGCCUGACCAGGGUAGAGUAUUACCUCCCUUGACCUGCUGGCCACGUUCCUUUUAAUGCACCCCAGGAUCCCCUGGGCCUUCUUGGCCACCAGGGCACACUGCUGACUCAUUGACAGUUUGUCAUCCACCAGGACCACCAGGUCCUUCUCCACAGAGCUCCUCUCCAGCAGGUCAUGUCCCAGCCUGUACUGACACUCAUGGUUACUCCUUCCCAGGUGCAAGACUCUACACUUGCUUUUGUUAAACUUCAUCUGGGUUCUUGCUGCCCAGCUCUCCAGUCUGUCCAGGUUUCACUAAAUGGCAAGCGCAGCCUUCUGGUGUGUCAGUCAUUCCUCCCAGCUUCGUAUCAUUGGUGUACUUGCUGAGGGUGAACACUAUGGCACUGUCCCUUCAUCAAAGUCAUUGAUGAAGAUACUGAACAAGACCGGACCCAGCACCAACCCCUGUUGAACACCGUUUCAUUGUCAGGAUGUUGUGGGAGAUGGUAUCAGAAGCCUUGCUGAAGCCAAGGUAGAUGACAUCCUCUGCUCUCUCCUCCCAUCUUGGUGAUGCCAUCAAGAAGGCUACCAGGUUGAUUGUGAUUUUUCCCUUGGUGAAUCCAUGCUGACUAUUGCUGAUGACCUUUUUCUCUUCCAAUUGCUUGGAGAUGGCAUCUAGAGCAAGCUGUUCCUUGUGGUGACAGAGAGCUCAUCUAUGAACAAUGUUUAGCGUGCACUGGAUGGAUAAAGAAGUGGAGACGUCCUUAGAAGAUAUGUUAAGUGAGAAUAGUGCAGUCUCAAAUGCUCAAAAAGUGACCAGCUGUGACAGUAUCUCCAGUUUAUAUGUGAGUGAAGAUGUUACAGGUUGCUGAUUGUUCUUGUUGCAUGGCAACUGCUUUUUUUUGCUGCUCAGGGAAUAAAGCCCUCAUUAGUGUACAGUAGAUGACUUUUUUUUUUUCUGAUGAUUUGAGAACAGGAAUGCUAGAAGUAAGCUGCAUGAAUCCUGUGCAUUUUGUGAGAUCUAAGGCUGUCUAGUGAAGGCA